rnacentral:rRNA from 1 species
GGCUUCCGGAGCUAACGCGUUAAGUAGACCGCCUGGGGAGUACGGCCGCAAGGUUAAAACUCAAAUGAAUUGACGGGGGCCCGCACAAGCGGUGGAGCAUGUGGUUUAAUUCGAUGCAACGCGAAGAACCUUACCUGGUCUUGACAUCCACAGAACUUUCCAGAGAUGGAUUGGUGCCUUCGGGAACUGUGAGACAGGUGCUGCAUGGCUGUCGUCAGCUCGUGUUGUGAAAUGUUGGGUUAAGUCCCGCAACGAGCGCAACCCUUAUCCUUUGUUGCCAGCGGUCCGGCCGGGAACUCAAAGGAGACUGCCAGUGAUAAACUGGAGGAAGGUGGGGAUGACGUCAAGUCAUCAUGGCCCUUACGACCAGGGCUACACACGUGCUACAAUGGCGCAUACAAAGAGAAGCGACCUCGCGAGAGCAAGCGGACCUCAUAAAGUGCGUCGUAGUCCGGAUUGGAGUCUGCAACUCGACUCCAUGAAGUCGGAAUCGCUAGUAAUCGUGGAUCAGAAUGCCACGGUGAAUACGUUCCCGGGCCUUGUACACACCGCCCGUCACACCAUGGGAGUGGGUUGCAAAAGAAGUAGGUAGCUUAACCUUCGGGAGGGCGCUUACCACUUUGUGAUUCAUGACUGGGGUGAAGUCGUAACAAGGUAACCGUAGGGGAACCUGCGGUUGGA